GACGAACGCUGGCGGCGUGCUUAACACAUGCAAGUCGAACGGAAAGGCCCUGCUUUUGUGGGGUGCUCGAGUGGCGAACGGGUGAGUAACACGUGAGUAACCUGCCCUUGACUUUGGGAUAACUUCAGGAAACUGGGGCUAAUACCGGAUAGGAGCUCCUGCUGCAUGGUGGGGGUUGGAAAGUUUCGGCGGUUGGGGAUGGACUCGCGGCUUAUCAGCUUGUUGGUGGGGUAGUGGCUUACCAAGGCUUUGACGGGUAGCCGGCCUGAGAGGGUGACCGGCCACAUUGGGACUGAGAUACGGCCCAGACUCCUACGGGAGGCAGCAGUGGGGAAUACUGCACAAUGGGCGGAAGCCUGAUGCAGCAAUGCCGCGUGCGGGAUGACGGCCUUCGGGUUGUAAACCGCUUUCGCCUGUGACGAAGCGUGAGUGACGGUAAUGGGUAAAGAAGCACCGGCUAACUACGUG
rnacentral:rRNA from 1 species